UACAGAGGUCUCAAGCGUUGUUCGGAUUCAUUGGGCGUAAAGAGCUCGUAGGCGGUUUGUCGCGUCGAAUGUGAAAACCCGGGGCUCAACCCCGGGCCUGCAUUCGAUACGGGCAGACUAGAGUUCGGUAGGGGAGUCUGGAAUUCCAGGUGUAGCGGUGAAAUGCGUAGAUAUCUGGAGGAAUACCGGUGGCGAAGGCGGCAUCCUGGACCGACAUUGACGCUGAACGGCGAAAGCUAGGGGAGCAAACGGG
rnacentral:rRNA from 1 species